rnacentral:rRNA from 1 species
CUGACNAUAAGNCUNAACCGCAAUUUANCCUGAANUAACCNCNGGAUAUAAAUANGAUCCGAUCCGUUGUUNAAGAUUUUUUUCCGUAAAAUUCAUUAUCGUCCGGACGNUAAUNGGAUAAGUAAUGAAAAAANCAUUUUCGUUUUUAAAUAUGCGUAAAAGUGUCUUUAGAGGCGAAAUAAAAUUGGCUUAAAGUGAACCAAUAGUAGAAAAUCUUAAUCGAUUUUCUUUUUGUUCACGACAGUAUAUCGAGAUAAUGAUUAAUAGAAACGGAUGGGGGCAUUCGUACUACGACGUUAGAGGUGAAAUUCUUGGACCGUCGUAAGACGAACUGAAGCAAAGGCGUUUGUCAAGUACGUUUUCAUUGAUCAAGAACGAAAGUUAGAGGCUCGAAGGCGGUCAGAUACCGCCCUAGUUCUAACCAUAAACGAUGCCGUCUAGCGAUCCGUCGAUGUUCAUUGAAAUUGACUCGGCGGGCAGCUUUCGGGAAACCAAAGUCUUUGGGUUCCGGGGGAAGUAUGGUUGCAAAGCUGAAACUUAAAGGAAUUGACGGAAGGGCACCACCAGGAGUGGAGCUUGCGGCUUAAUUUGACUCAACACGGGAAACCUCACCAGGUCAGGACACUGAUAGGAUUGACAGAUUGAUAGCUCUUUCUUGAUUCAGUGGGUGGUGGUGCAUGGCCGUUCUUAGUUGGUGGAGCGAUUUGUCUGGUUAAUUCCGAUAACGAACGAGACUCUAACCUGCUAAAUAGACGCUAAACGUUUAUUGCUAAGCGUUAUGGGAACGGGUAUUUGGCGGCGAUUGUGUUUGUUUUUUCGUUGAUUGUGGUUUCGUGCGUGCCACCUGUGCUCCUGUCGAACCNGAAUUCGGCUUGAGUUAGUAGUUUUAAUUANUGCUCCGAUGUCGACGAAAUUUGGUAGUGCAUAGUGUUUUCGCGCGGAAAUUCGCAAUUUUCGAAGAACGGAUUACGGUCGUUUGUUCGGGUAUUCGUUCUUGCUUAGUGAUCGUUUUAUCCGAUAUUNGAAGACAUUUGUGCGAAUGACGUCGUCGGCUCGCUUCGGCUAUGCACUCGUGUGUAGUUGUUUGUGUGUCGAUUAGUUGUUUGCACGAUAUUCACUAUCGGCGUAUAAAAAAAUCUCUUCUUAGAGGGACAGGUGGACUUAUAAGCCACACGAGAAGGAGCAAUAACAGGUCUGUGAUGCCCUUAGAUGUUCUGGGCUGCACGCGUGCUACACUGAAAAAAUCAACGUGUUUUUUUUCAAAAAUGUCCUUUACCGAAAGGUACGGGUAAACCGUUGAAAAUUUUUCGUGAUUGGAAUCGGGCAUUGAAAUUAUUGCCCGUGAACGAGGAAUUCCCAGUAAGCGUGAGUCAUUAGCUUGCGCUGAUUACGUCCCUGCCCUUUGUACACACCGCCCGUCGCUACUACCGAUUGAAUGAUUUAGUGAGGUCUUCGGACUGUCACGCGUUUAGCGUUUCGGCGCUAUCGUUGUCGAUAGAAAGAUGCCCAAACUUGAUUAUUUAGAGGAAGUAAAAGUCGUAACAAGGUUUCCGUAGGUGA